GAUGAAGAACGUAGCGAAAUGCGAUAAGUAAUGUGAAUUGCAGAAUUCAGUGAAUCAUCGAAUCUUUGAACGCACAUUGCGUCCGCCAGUAUUCUGGCGGGCAUGCCUGUUCGAGCGUCAUUUCAACCCUCAAGCCCCCGGGCUUGGUGUUGGGGAUCGGCGUGCCCUCGCGGCGCGCCGUCCCCUAAAUCUAGUGGCGGUCUCGCUGUAGCUUCCUCUGCGUAGUAGCAACACUCGCACUGGAUCGCAGCGCGGCCACGCCGUUAAACCCCCCACUUCUGAAAGUUUGACCUCGGAUCAGGUAGGAAUACCCGCUGAACUUAAGCAUAUCAAUAAGCGGAGGA
rnacentral:misc_RNA from 1 species